UACGUAGGGGGCAAGCGUUGUCCGGAUUUAUUGGGCGUAAAGAGCGUGUAGGCGGCCAGGUAGGUCAGCUGUGAAAACUCGAGGCUCAACCUCGAGACGUCGGUUGAAACCACCUGGCUAGAGUCCGGAAGAGGAGAGUGGAAUUCCUGGUGUAGCGGUGAAAUGCGCAGAUAUCAGGAGGAACACCAAUUGCGAAGGCAGCUCGCUGGGACGUUACUGACGCUGAGACGCGAAAGCGUGGGGAGCAAACAGG
rnacentral:rRNA from 1 species